UACGUAGGGGGCAAGCGUUGUCCGGAAUCAUUGGGCGUAAAGCGCGUGUAGGCGGUCCGUUAAGUCGGUUGUGAAAGUCCAGGGCUCAACCCUGGGAUGCCGAUCGAUACUGCCGGACUAGAGUCCGGAAGAGGCGAGUGGAAUUCCCGGCGUAGCGGUGAAAUGCGCAGAUAUCGGGAGGAACACCAAUGGCGAAGGCAGCUCGCUGGGACGGUACUGACGCUGAGACGCGAAAGCGUGGGGAGCGAACAGG
rnacentral:rRNA from 1 species